rnacentral:lncRNA from 1 species
ACUAUCAAUCACAGGUAUGUGGGAAUCCACAGGACCGGACUCUGUCCUGCCUCUCAUCUCCUAAGGGCAUCUGAAAAUUGAGAUGAGAUCCAGGAAGAUGCAGUUCAAUCUCAGGGAAUUCCAAAGAUGCCUGAAAUCCAUCACCUUGAA